GGGGGGAAACAGUGAACUAUCAAUCGAAAGGGGAUGUUUUACAGAAACAGAGUUAGUAGAGUGACACUAUGAUAAUUUAACUGUUGUUAGUUAUUUCAGACAGAGAGGUCUACUAGUUUUAUUCAGGAAAACAUAACAGUGAUGUUUUUGUACACUUCAGUUUUUAUUUUUUAUAUUAUAAUAGCUUUGCCUUGUAUGUCCUCUACCUCUGCAGAAAGAAGAUUGCUCUGCUCCUCAGAGCAAGUUAGUGUUUGGUACAGCUAUGAAGGGCCAUUGUAUUACCUGUCAGUGACCGGUUCCCCCUGCUCUACAAAAGUGGCCUGGCACAAUAUAACUUAUACAGUAAUCCCAAUGUUCACACCUGCUCGUGUCGGAUAUCAUGCUCGAGUUUACAUCAAUGGUCAGCUAUUGCUUGAGUACACACAACCAGAUAUUCCUUGUGAGGAUGUUAAAGCCUGUUACAUCAUCAAAGGAGAAACACUGCAUGAAACCUGUCCAUUUUAUUUUAAAAGAAAUACUUUUUUUGCUCCUCAGGGAGAAUAUCAGAUUCACAUGGAUGUGAACAUUGUUGAUGAUGUUGAAAGAAGGCUGACAUUACGUUUCAACAUUACUAUACAAAUAAAAAGUACUGGUAGUUAGAAUGUAAUUUUUCGAGGAGGGUUGAAGAACAAGAAAAUCCUAUUUUCAACAUGAUAAAAACAAUAUGUGUUUCUUGAGCAGCAAAUCAGCAUAUUAGAAUGAUUUCUGAAGGAUCAUGUGACACUGAAGACUGAAGUAAUGAUGCUGAAAAUUCAGCUUUGAUCACAGGAAUAAAUUACAUUUUAAAAUAUGUUCAUAUAGAAAACUGUUCUUUAAAAUUGUAAUAAUAGUUCACAAAUGACAGUUUUUGCUGUAUUUUUGAUCAAAUGGUGAGCAAGAGCUUUCUUUCAAAAACAUUUAAAAAUCUUACUGAGCCCAAACUUUUACAUAGUAAUUUAUUAAGACAGCUAAUGCUUUGAGCAUAAACCAUUAAAGGAGAACAGCAAUGGUGCUUCUGUACCUUUCAGCUUUUCUUUGUCAUAUUGUGGCAUUGUCUUGUAUGUCCUCAGCAGAGAGACAUUUGGUUUGCUCCUCAGAAAGUAUAGCCUGUACAGCUAUGAUGGUAAGAUUAAAAAAAAAUCAUCAGUUUACUUAUUCAGUUUACCUCAGAACAUUAUAGCAAAAGAUAAGAGAUACUUAAACUCAGUGGAUAUUUAGAUGCAAGCUAGUUCAGCUCCAACCCUGAUCAAACACAACUGAAACAGCUAAUUAAGAUCUCAAGUAGCACUUGAUAAUUAUAGACAGGUGUAUUGGAUCUGGGUUGAAUCUGAACUCUGCAUGUAGUUAGAUCUCCAGGAACAGGAUUGGGUGCUCCUUAUAUAGAUUUUGCCCAAAGUAAUUCUUUUUUAACCCACUUUGCUAUUUCAAUUUACAUACUAAGCCUGAUCCUUUACUUUACGUUUUGUGCAGUAGGUGGCGGUGUGCACUUUCAGGUGGGUUUGCCAACUGUCAUUUAGAGGAAUAGAAGAAGCACAAAUGUGUGUGCGUGGCACAUGCACAUUCAAGCUUCAGUGUUUAGCAUAUUUGAGGUGCACUUUUGAAACAAAUCACUCAGAAAUCACUUAUUUAGCCUACUAAGCUGAGUAGACAAUAGCAUUGGCAGAGAUUGACUGCCCAGAGCAGUGGGCAGCCAUUUUGCUCCAGCGCCUGGGGAGCAAUUGGGGGUUCGUUGCCUCAAGAGCACCUCAGUCGUGGUAUUGAAGGUGGAUGAGAGUGCUGUUCAUUCAUCCCAGCCUUCAAUUCACAAGAACAAGAAUCAUGCAAGAAUUGAACCGGCGACUUUCGGGUUACAAGCCCGACUCUCUAACCAUUAGGCCACGACCCCUCCUUGAUUAGUUCAGGUGUGUUUAAUUGGGGAUGGAGCUAAAAUUUGCAGGACAUUUCAAGGGCAAAUUCCUAUCAGAAGUGAGCAUCCCUAUGCCCUACUCACUCUGAAGGACAGAGCCCUUGAAGUGUGCACUUUUGAGGGAGCAGAGCACUUGUGUGCGAUAAUGAAGUUGUUUGGAAUGCACUUGGCGAAGGGAGCAAUAAAAGUAAUUUAGUAAUUUCAUCAUUAGCUUCACAUGAAAUGUUUCCAUGACAAAGCUAGGCAGCCACAACUGAAACAUCGUAUUAUUGCUGUUAAUAUGAUAUAUACAAAUAAAAGUACAUUCAUAAUGAAGUUUUUAAAAUACGGGUUAUAUGUGUGUGUUCCUGUUUUCCAUUCUGUGUUUUCUGAUAAGAUCAAGUGAUUUCAGUGGUUAAUUUAUAUUCAUAUCUGGAGUUCUCAUAUUAGAUUUGGUCUCAUUAAAGCAAAGCUCUCUCAAAGUAUUGGUAUGCAUAGUAUUUUUAUGCCAUUUUAAUGGCAGUGAAAUUGAUCUACCUGGGAACUGGUUUUGAUCAGACUUGUAAAAACGCCUCAUACUCUGCUAGAUUGUUCUAAUUGUUGAUGGUUGUUGAUUUCAUUGCGUUUGAUCUAUAAAAUAAUCUGACAUAAAUAAACAUUUUAUUUUCCUAAAGGUGAGAAGUUUUGACUGUUCCAGCAGUGUGGUUGCCAUACAUCCUCAUGAAAACACACAGUGAUGUGAACAGCUGGGAGACGGGAAAUUCCAUUUUGUUGUUUCAUUGGACUGUUUUAAUACAUUAUUUGCAGAAAUUGUAUGUCAUUAUGUUUAUGGUGCUGAAACGUGUGAAACUAAAAUCAUGCACAUACGGUUCCCACUGAAUUCCUGCAUGUUUCAUGAUUUCAUCUCAUGGCUAAACUUCCUUUUUUCAACAGUUCUCUGUUCACAUAACCACUGGCACUUAACAGAAAACCUGUGGUGGCUUUCAAACCAAAUGUGUUUUACAACAAUACAGUGCAUUGUUAAAAGCAAGAACUGAUUUUAGAGAAUGGUCAGUUUGAAUGUUGUUCUGAACUCCAGCUUCCCAACUUGUACAUAACCAUUCUGACAGAGAUUUUCCACUGGUGUUGUUCAUGAAGGAUAACAGAUAUGGUGCUUUUGUGCUCUUCAACUUUUCUCUGGUUUAUUGCUUUAUCUUGUAUGUCAUCUGUGACUGCAGAGAGAAGAUUAUUAUGUUCCUCAGAACAUCUUAGUAUCUGGUACACCUUUGAUGGUAAGUGGAAUGUCAAAUAUUUUUAAAAAUGACACACACGCAAAAAUGACAUAAUCACACACAAACAUAUACUAUAUGUCAAUACAAAAGUCUGGGGCCAGUAAAACUUUUGAUCACCAAGACUUUAUUGUUUUGAACAAUAAUUUAGUAAAAACAGUAACAUUGUGACACAUUACAAUGUAAAAUAACUGUUUUUUGUUGUAUUAUAUUUUAAAAUGCUUUUUUUUUUUUUUUUUUUUUCCCUGUGAUGGCAAAGCUGAAUUUUUAGCAUUAUUACUCCAGUCAUUACAUUACAAUAUCACAUGAUCCUUCAGAAAUUAUUCUAAUAUGCUGAUUUUUUUUCCUGCUCAAGAAACAUUUCUUAUUAUUAUCAAAGUUAAAAAUAGAUGUGCUGCUUAAUAUUUUUGUAAAAACCUUGAUAGAUUUUUGAGGGGAUUCUUUGAGGUCUAGAAAAUGUAAAAGAACAGCAUUUAUUUGAAAUAGAAAUAUUUUGUAACACUAUAAAUGUCUUUACUGUCACUUUUGAUCAGUUUUUAUUUCUUUAAAGAAAAACAUACUGACCCCAAACUUUUGAACGAUAUCAUGUACAUACAAAAAUAUAAUAUAAUUGGAAACAUCUUGGUUACUGUUGCAACACUUGUUCCCUGAUGGAGAUGUUAUGUCAACUGACAAAUGAGUCUCUCAUGGGAGCCCCAAUCACCUCUGAGGUUUAGAAAAAUGGGCGAGUGGAAUUCUUAUGCCAAGCCAUCCCCCGUACAUACAGGUGUAUAAGAUUGUGGCACACAUCCACUCAUUAGGUUUAUGCUUUGGAGCCGAGACGGUGUCCCAGCCACUCGGCGGGGUAGACCAGGGCUGUGGACUAAUGUCUCUGUUCCCUCAAUCAGUGAACAAGGGUUACAACAAUAACCAAGAAGGUUCUUAUCUGUCAGUCACUACAAUGUUAUGUCAACUGACAAAUGGGGUCCCUAUGGACUGCACCACAACCACUGAACUGUGUUAUGAGUGCUGGCGAUGCAGAUGUUGGCAAGCUGUAACGUGCCCUUUUGGCAACUGCUCUCGCUAAGUCAUAACCUACCCAGCACCCCCAUGUAAGCCCAAAAUCUUUGUUCUCCAUGCCUGUGGGGUGGAAGGGACAGGGCUUUCUAUGGAGACAGUCGUUUUUUCAGCUAUGACCAGUGUGAUAAUGCUAGGAAAAUGUACCUAGUCCAGGUGGAGAGGGAUGCUACAGAGGCCAGUAGAGAGGAACAUGUGGAAAUACACAUAUGGACUGACCUGUGGGGCAUAUGGAAAAAUCAGAGGGGGCAGAGAAGAAUUUGCCAAGGGAAAGACAGGAGUUUACCAACAGGGAAACUAUACAGUGGAAGAAUACACAUAUAAUCACAACAUACGGGGCAACUAGCCCAGUAAAAGGGCUGACCAACCAGGCAUGCAUCUCAAGUACUGGGCCUGGCAUCAAUGCCUCUACCACGUCUGACUGUUGAAGGAUGCCAACUGAGGAACUCAUGGAGACCACAGAAGUCGCUCGCAUCUGCUUCUUCGAAAGAAACGGUGCUGCAAGUGAGACACAGAGCCAGCCUUCACCCAACUUACCUGUUUGUACGUGACAGGCAGGAAGAAACCGGCUCAACCUGGAGGUGUCGCCCAGCCCACCUAGUAGAAGGAGCUCUGGCUUGAGUGAUAGUGUCUACCACCACUGUUGGCCACUUAAGUCCUCCAUGUGCCAUCCAGAAGCCACAUGUGAAGUUUCCAGAGAUCUGGAAGGGGGUGCCAUAUGGUUCCCCGUCCCUGAGAAAGAAGGUCCUUCCUCAGGGAAAUCCGCCUGGAAGGGGCUGCCGCGAGGAGCCUCAGGUCCAAUAACCAGGUCCAGAUGAGCCAGUAAUGCGCAACCAUCAAUAUCUACUCCUUGUCCUCCCAUCACUAGCCACUACUAGAACUACCACCGAUUUGCUGCUUUCCGUGUCUCUCUCAUUGAAAAUGAGUGCUUGUCGCAUCCAGUGUAAAACUGUCUUAUUGUUGAAGUGGUAGACUACUGCCGGCCCAAUUUACCAGUGGCCCACUGGGAAUUCUCACAAAUCUUCCAGGAGAUAUUCUUAUUAUAUAAUAUAAUACAGAGUUUGCAUUAUUUGCAGCUAGUGGUUGCGUGUUGAAUUUGUUUUUGUUUUGUUUUGCAGUAUGAAAAAAAAAAUCCAAAAACUUGCUUGUGCAUGCUUUUAUUUUAUUGCAAGUUUAUCAAUAUAUACAACCUCCAGUCUUUCACAUGCAUCUCAAAGAUCGUGUUUAAUUGUGAGUGUGAAGUGGGGACGGCACAACAGUGUUUUGCCUAGAGCGGCAGCUGAGCUUGCACCGGCCCUGCAUACAAUCACCAGCAAGAGGGCUACUGCUAACUUCUUUAGAGCCGAACUGGAAGAGUGAUCGCUCCAUUCACAAAACAACCACUCAGCUCCAAAGCAAAAAUCGAAUGAGUGGCUUGGCAAAUUCCAUUGGCCAUUUUUCUACACCUCAGAGGUGAUUGGGGCUCCCAAGUGAGAUCCAUUUGUCAGUCGACAUAACGUCGUAGUGACUGACAGAUAGGGAACCCACUUAUUAGUAACAAAAGAAAAUAUUAAAACAUUAAUUAUUUGAGAUGUCUUUUCAUUAUUUCCAAUGCUCUCUCUUUAAUCAGGACCGUUGUAUUACCUGUCAAUGACUGCUUCCCCCUGCUCUCUAGGAGUGUCUUUUUACACUAUAACUUAUACAGUAAUCCCAAUGUUCACAAUCAGUCGUAUUGGUUUUCAUUGUAGUGUUCACUACAAAGGUCAGCUGUGGUUGGAGCACACACAGCCAUCUGUUCUUUGUGAGGACUGCAAAAUAUGUUACAUCAUCAAAGGAGAAACACUUCAUGAGACUGUUCCAUUUUACGUGAAAAAGUUUUAUGGCCCUGAGGGAGAAUAUCAGGUUUACCUGACUGUCGACAUUAUUGAUGACCUUGGAAACAAAUUGACAUUACAAUUCAAUGCCACUUUAGAAGCAAAAAAUGAUGGCAAUAAGAACAAUAUUUUUCCACAGCUGCGAGGGCCGUAGGGUAAACUACAUGGAGUAUCCAGCUUCUUUCCUUUACUCUUUUUUUUAUUUUUUUAUUUUUUAUUUUUUAUCAUAAUUCAUUCUGUAUUUUCUGUUUUGUUUUCUGAGCAGAUCAAGUGAUCGACAGUGGUUAAUGCAUAAGAGUGUCACCGUAAUGUUUGCUCUGGAGUUCUUGUAUUAGACAUUGAACAGGUGUCUCAAUUUUUCGAGGAGGGUUGUAGAACAAGAAAAGCCUAUUAAACAGUAAGACAGGAAAGACAAGAGAAAUUUAUACAACCAUUCAAAAGUUUGAGGUCAUUGAAGCCCCUUUCACACAGAGAUUCUGGAAAAUCCACGGACAAUGUGUCUCAUGACUUGUCCUGGAAUCAUUUAAUUUUGUGUUAUUCACACUGCCAGUGAUUUUCUGUAAUCUGUGCGUUCACACACAUCUUAUAAAGAUCCCGUAAAGACACGUGACAUCAGGAUGUGACAUGUAAUGUCUCCGCAGAGUCCCCAUAAGUUUGCUUAUGAUCUGAUAUUUCUUUCUCGAGAAACCACAAUUGUGCAUUUUAUUUUAUUUUAUUUUUUUCCUGGACGUGUUUGCAUUUACACAGAAUGAACUCUGUCUGGCAAUUUUAUGGUAAUACUCUGGGAUCAAUGCUCUGUGUGAAAGGGGAUUAAGAUUUUUUGUUUUUAAGAAAUUAAUAGCCUACUUUUAUUCAGAAAGGAUGCACCAUAAAGCAUUUAUAAUGUUACAAAGAUUUCAAAUAGAAAUAAAGAAAAAAAAGUUAUUAAGGUUUCCACACAAAUGAAGCAACACAACUGUUUUCAACUUUGAUAAGAAGAAAUGUUUCUUGAGCAGCAAAUUAGCAUGUUAGGAUGAUUUCUGAAGGAUUGCUGAAAGUUCAGCUUUGAUCACAGGAAUAAAUUACAUUUUAAAAUAUAUUCAAAUAGAAAACAGUUCUUUAAAAUUUUAAUACUAGUUAAAAAAAUUACAGUUCCCUUUCAAUAACGGUUCCCUCGACAGUGUGUCAUUAGCUAUGGGAAAAGUACCUUUCUCCAAAAUACUGAAGUCUGAUUGAAUAGCGUCUGUGUAUCUACACAGAACAUUGGCAUCUCAGUGCGGUUUCUCAGGGCGGACCCAUUUGCCUAUAUAAGCCACCUUUGAGUGUCAUUAAUCAGAAUCUCGAAGACUGAAGAUCAUUUCCUCACUGACUAAGAAGAAGAAGCCUGCCUGCUCACUGUUUGAUGAGCCCAGCGGCAGACUUUGUAGCGCUGAAGAAAUGAACUCAGCUGAGGCUGAUGCUUCUCCCCUGCAGCUAUCCAGCGAGUUAUGCGACGAGUUAACUCGCUAUUGAAAGAGCAAAUUUCAGUGGUGUUUCAUGCAAAAUUCCAGGUAGGGCAUAGGGCACUGCUACCCCUUCAUUGCCUGCCUGGGCCACUCGCGGAUUACUUUCUUUAAAGGAAGCGACCCCGUCCCUUGCACUCCCCCGUUCUCUUCAGGAUCCUAUGAGGAAAAAUCUGCAGAGUCAUGCGGCUGAGCAAAUGGGUGAGCUCAUGUUGGCACCUUGGGCCUUACUCUCCCCACAGCGAGAGGAUUCUCUGCUGCCUGGUGGUCCAUGAGGGCCACAUCUGGCUGAACUUGAAGGAGAUCAAGUACAGCCUUCCUUGCCGACAAGACAGCCUUCCUUGACUCCCCAGUGUCCCCUAAGGGCCUUUUUGGUUCGGCAUCACUGGACGACAUUCACCCUAGGUGCUCUUCAAUUUAGCAGCCCAUCAAACCAACACCAGCAUCUGCUCAAGCCCAGCCCAAAGCAGAGCCUGAAGUCAGGCAUCACUCCUGGAGUGUUAAGCGCUACCCCUUCCCCGAGUGACAGGGUAGUGUUGGACCCUGAGCAGCAGCCUCGAUGUUAAGGUCUUCGGAUCAGAGCUCCAUCCCUGAGCCAGGCUCACAGGGCCUCUUCUCUGCUAAUAACACAACGCUGUUGGAUUGCGUUCCCUAUAGCGUCAACUACUGAUGAGAUGUUGAGUGAACCGUUAUCGAAAGGAAAUGUUGUGUUACUAACAUAACCUCGGUUCCCUGAGAUAGAUGGGAAUGCAUUGCAUACGCUUGCCGUGUUAUUAUGCUUGCAUGAUUUACUCGCCCUCAAGCCAUCCUAGGUGUAAAAAUGGCCGUACACACAUCAACUUACGCCAAUAGAGUCACCUCUGACACGAUGUAGGAGUAUCGUAAGCUUAGAUGUCACGGUUCAAACAAACAGGGCUGGGCAACAAACUCAAGCUCCUCUUCUUUUAUAUCCAAAUCUUUGAACAUUUCUCUUUAAAAAUUCUUGUUUUAGACUUCUAAUUCAUGACCGGUGUUUUGUUUUGCUCUCUCCUCUGCGCUUCCACGUUCGUCAUUAUGUCAUACAUAAGGUCACUCUUUCGCCGUAAAUCGAUGCGUAUGGCCGUCUGUCGGAAGCUAGUUAUUUUAGUUUUAAAUAUGGAUGUUUUUCUUACAAAAAAUGCAUCGCUUCGCUUCAGAAGGCCUUUAUUAACCCCCUGGACCCAUGUGGUUAUCUUGAGGAUAGUUGCACUUUUUUGGGCUUCAAAAUCUCAUUCUCUUUUCACUCCCAUUAUAAAGCUUGGAAGAGCCAGGACAUUAUUUAAUAUAACUCUGAUUGAAUUUGUCUGAAAGAAGAAAGUCAUAUACUCCUAGGAUGGCUUGAGGGUGAGUAAAUCAUGGGGUAAUUUUCAUUUUGAAUUAAUCCUUUAAGGCCCUGAUAUAUUUCAAGCGAAAUCUAAGAACAAACUGAUAUGACGUUUGCUGGUAAAAGCACGAACACACUGGAGAGUCACUUUAUAGUAGAAAAUGAAGUUGUACUUAUGGAGAAAUGAGGCACUGACACUGUUUUUCAUGUUUAAUACUGUAAAGUGGUCUGCUUUUAAGCAGUCUAUUGUAUAGAGUGCUAUAUAAAUAAACGUGACGUGACUUUACUGCAGUGGCGAAUUGCAGAGCUGGUGCAAACAGAUCCAUGUUGCUAUGAUCGGAUGCUUUUCAUAUGCUUUCUUUAUAAAAAGUCUUGCUGUUUUCUCAUUUUUGUUGUGUGUUUAUUUUGUUAUUAAGAGGAAAGUACACAGCACAUGUUUACACAUUCAUCUAAACGCUGCUCUCAGUAAUGUGGGUGGUGUUGGAUGUUUGAUAACAGUGUUCCGCUGCUCACGAAUUUCAAACUUGUUUUUACCCCCAGGCAAAGAGUGAGUAGAUCAGGACCUUUAGCAGUCGCUAGCCCACUUUCCUCAGUCAAAAGAUUCUGAAAUGGCACUCAGCGGCAGCUUAUAUGGGCACGCCCAUUUUGGUGCUAAGAUGCCAUUUGUCUGUGUAGUUACACAGAUGUGAUUCAGUCAGGCUUUCCCCAGACUUUCCCCACGGCGUCAUCAACUGUGCAAUGUCUUGUUCCCGUCUAUUUCAGGGAAGCAAGGUUACAUUAGAAACCAAAAUGUUUUUACUGUAUUUUUGGUCAAAUAAAUGCAGCUUUGGUGCAUAAGAGAUUUCUUUCAAAAACAUUUAAAAAUCUUACUGACCCCAAACUUUUGAACAGUAGCACACCUGACAGCAAAAUUAACUAAAUUUAUUAAGACAGCUGUUUUAAGUAUAAACCUUGUUAAAUAUAUUAUAUUUUAUUUCUUAUUUUAUAACCUUUUCUGUGGUGUGUGACUUAGGAGAGAUGUUAUAUUUUCUAUUUGAUUUGUUUUUAAAAAAUAUUAAGAAAUUGUCUUAGUCUGGACGCUUGAGGAAAGUCACGAUUUGAUUUUAGUACUGUAUGUUGUGAGGCUGAAACAUCUGUGAAAGUGUAAAUAAAUGCCAUUUAAAUACACAAA